CCUGCCGCGUGUAUGAAGAAGGCCUUCGGGUUGUAAAGUACUUUCAGCGGGGAGGAAGGGAGUAAAGUUAAUACCUUUGCUCAUUGACGUUACCCGCAAAAAAAGCACCGGCUAACUCCGUGCCAGCAGCCGCGGUAAUACAGAGGGUGCAAGCGUUAAUCGGAAUUACUGGGCGUAAAGCGCACGCAGGCGGUUUGUUAAGUCAAAUGUGAAAUCCCCGGGCUCAACCUGGGAACUGCAUCUGAUACUGGCAAGCUUGAGUCUCGUAGAGGGGGGUAGAAUUCCAGGUGUAGCGGUGAAAUGCGUAGAGAUCUGGAGGAAUACCGGUGGCGAAGGCGGCCCCCUGGACAAAAACUGACGCUCAGGUGCGAAAGCGUGGGGAGCAAACAGGAUUAGAUACCCUGGUAGUCCACGCCGUAAACGAUGUCGACUUGGAGGUUGUGCCCUUGAGGCGUGGCUUCCGGAGCUAACGCGUUAAGUCGACCGCCUGGGGAGUACGGCCGCAAGGUUAAAACUCAAAUGAAUUGACGGGGGCCCGCACAAG
rnacentral:rRNA from 1 species